rnacentral:lncRNA from 10 species
CCAUGUUGCCCAGGCUGGUCUCAAACUCCUGGGCUCAAGCAAACCACCCACUUCAGUCACCCAAACUGCUAGAAUGACAGGCGUGAGCCGCUGUGUCCAGCCUGUCCGUCAGUUUUUAAAUAAACAUAUAGAAAGAUAAUAAAAGAAAGUAUCCUUCAUUUAUGCCCUAAUCAGGAGUCUCAAUUUUCUCACAUGCUUUAUUAAAAUGUUCUAAAAUGUCUUUUCAAAUAUACUUCUCAACUUCAGAAUAUUCUUUUCCUAUUAACAAAAACAUAUGACCAUGUGAACACACUGUUGGAACCUCUCUGUGGGCCUUGGAUUGGCCUAUACAUGUGAUGGGCUCUGACAUGUAAAUUUCAUUCAUUUCAUGGAAAUUCUCAUCUAAAUGCUGUCACUCCAAAAUCUUGGUACAGAUAGGAGAAGUCAGGGAAAUAAAUACCUCAACCUCUCUCUAUUGCUGCUGCCUUCUAUUGGCCAAACCCAACCAGAAUUCAGAGGGUAAGGAAGAUUUAAUGAUGCAGUUUGUCUAAGGCAGCCUCCUGGGUCAUAGAGCAGGGCCAAGGAUUAAAGACCAGGUCUGGAGGGCUGAACAGAGAAUAAGAAAAGCAGUUAAUUGUCUUUGAAUAACUACUGUCUUCUAAAACUUCUAUUUUGCAGCAUUUAUGCCUUAUUUCGGCCUUCUGUGCUUGUGUUCAUAGAGAAGAAAAGCAAAAUAAAGAAUAUGAUUGGCACUUACUCACAGAAAUCACUUCCUCAAGAAGCACCUGCUAGCCUAGGAAUAGUAAACAAAGCAAGUAUCUCCUGAACAAGGAAAAACAAUGAUUCUCAUCUGUAACUACUAUCAACUAAAAUCAAAUUUUUUAAAGACUCACUACUGAGAAGUGACAGCUACUGGUGAGAAAAAAAAAUUCAACAACUAAAAAAAAACACAACAGUGUGGAUUCCCUGUUUAGUUGUCUAUAUUUCCCACUAGAUGAGCAAGCACUAUGUCUAUCUUUUUCAUUUUAAUUCCUGCUCUAGCAUAUUGCCUGGCACAUACUAGGUGCUCAAUACAUUGUAAAAUGAAAUAACACUAAAGUCUUGAGUAGCAGAGUUGAUUGUACAAAAUAAUAAAUUCAUAUUUGUCUC